rnacentral:rRNA from 1 species
GCACAAGCGGUGGAGCAUGUGGUUAAUCGACGCAACGCGAAGAACCUUACUGGGUUGACAUCCCGAUCGUACUCUAUGGAAACAUAGGGGUCAGUUCGGCUGGAUCGGUGACAGGUGCUGCAUGGCUGUCGUCAGCUCGUGUCGUGAGAUGUUGGGUUAAGUCCCGCAACGAGCGCAACCCUUGUCCUUAGUUGCCACCAUUCAGUUGGGCACUCUAAGGAGACUGCCGGUGUUAAACCGGAGGAAGGUGGGGAUGACGUCAAGUCCUCAUGGCCCUUAUAUCCAGGGCUACACACGUGCUACAAUGGGCGGUACAAAGGGUAGCGAUGCCGCGAGGUGAAGCCAAUCCCAAAAAGCCGUCCACAGUUCGGAUUGGAGUCUGCAACUCGACUCCAUGAAGCCGGAAUCGCUAGUAAUCGUGGAUCAGCAUGCCACGGUGAAUACGCUCCCCGGCCUU